CUUGACAUCCAGCGAACUUUCCAGAGAUGGAUUGGUGCCUUCGGGAGCGCUGAGACAGGUGCUGCAUGGCUGUCGUCAGCUCGUGUUGUGAAAUGUUGGUUAAGUCCGCAACGAGCGCAACCCUUAUCCUUUGUUGCCAGCGAUUCGGUCGGGAACUCAAAGGAGACUGCCGGUGAUAAACCGGAGGAAGGUGGGGAUGACGUCAAGUCAUCAUGGCCCUUACGAGUAGGGCUACACACGUGCUACAAUGGCGCAUACAAAGAGAAGCGACCUCGCGAGAGCAAGCGGACCUCAUAAAGUGCGUCGUAGUCCGGAUCGGAGUCUGCAACUCGACUCCGUGAAGUCGGAAUCGCUAGUAAUCGUGGAUCAGAAUGCCACGGUGAAUACGUUCCCGGGCCUUGUACACACCGCCCGUCACACCAUGGGAGUGGGUUGCAAAAGAAGUAGGUAGCUUAACCCUCGGGAGGGCGCUUACCACUUUGUGAUUCAUGACUGGGGUGAAGUCGUAACAAGGUAAGCGUACGUGU
rnacentral:rRNA from 1 species